rnacentral:rRNA from 1 species
GAACUGAAGAGUUUGAUCAUGGCUCAGAUUGAACGCUGGCGGCAGGCCUAACACAUGCAAGUCGAGCGGAUGACGGGAGCUUGCUCCUUGAUUCAGCGGCGGACGGGUGAGUAA